GACGAACGCUGGCGGCGUGCUUAACACAUGCAAGUCGAACGGAAAGGCCCUGCUUUUGUGGGGUGCUCGAGUGGCGAACGGGUGAGUAACACGUGAGUAACCUGCCCUUGACUUUGGGAUAACUUCAGGAAACUGGGGCUAAUACCGGAUAGGAGCUCCUGCUGCAUGGUGGGGGUUGGAAAGUUUCGGCGGUUGGGGAUGGACUCGCGGCUUAUCAGCUUGUUGGUGGGGUAGUGGCUUACCAAGGCUUUGACGGGUAGCCGGCCUGGGAGGGUGACCGGCCACGUUGGGACUGAGAUACGGCCCAGACUCCUACGGGAGGCAGCAGUGGGGAAUAGUGCACAAUGGGCGGAAGCCUGAUGCAGCAACGCCGCGUGCGGGAUGACGGCCUGCGGGUUGUAAACCGCUUUCGCCUGUGACGAAGCGUGAGUGACGGUAAUGGGUAAAGAAGCACCGGCUAACUACGUG
rnacentral:rRNA from 1 species